CACUUAUCUCCCGAAUACCCCCGAAUCCCUCUCACGCGUCUUCGAUCUCCUCCAGAACCCCUCUCACACAAACCUCAUCUCACACCCUCUCCGGCGAACUCUUCCAUGAACCUCUCCUCCUAACUCCUCUUUGCCAAAUGAAGCCAAGCGACAUUUCCUUUCCCAGGCAUAUAGGCAAGAGAACGUGUUCCUAGGGGCACUCACCGUGAGGGAAACCAUCACCUACAUGGCCCACCUGCGACUUCCGACUACAGGCAAGAGGGAGGCAGAGAUGGCAGCAGUGGUGAAGGUGGUGGAGGUGACGAUCCUUGAGAUGGGGCUGCAGGAGUGCGCAGACCGGUUGAUCGGGAACUAGCACAUCAGGGGGAUCAACGGCGGGGAGAAGAAGAGACUGAGCAUCGCGCUGGAGAUCCUGAUGCGGCCGUGACUCCUCUUCCUCGACGAGCCCACCACCGGGCUCGACAACGCAGCCGCCUUCUUCGUGGUGGAGACGCUGAAGCACAUCGUGGUGGACAACAACAAGACCAUUGUCUCCUCCAUCCACCAGCCUAGCAGCGAGGUCUUCAGCCUCUUCGAUGACCUCUACCUCUGAUUUGGCGGAGAGGUCGUCCUCUUUGGCGGAGAGGUCGUUGGCUACCCAGGUAACACUUUUAACAAAUAUCGUCGUUCAAGGAGAGGGGAUGAUCGCAGUGAUUGAAUUAUUGAUCUAUAACUUGAGGAAAGAUCUAAACUCUGAUUUGGUGUUGUAGUUUUUCGCAGAUGUUCGAAUUUUUUUGACAUUUUCCCCUCAAUCUCGCUCUUGCUUUCGUUUGGAAGUUGAGCGCUAAAGAUGAUCAGAUCGCCCUGAAUGGCUGUGAUUGUUGAAGAUAGGAUAACACGCGCUUGUAAUCAACGCUUUCGAUGUCGGCGACUUUCGCACCGCUUCCUCCCUCUUCUCCGCCAUGCGCCAUCAAGGCGACGCCAACCUCAACCAUUACACGCUUCCCCUCCUCAACUGUGCCUCGGAGAAUCAGAUUAAGCUCUGAGAAACCUUCCAUUCCCUCGCUAUCAGGAUUGGCCUCGCAGGUGAUGUCUAUUUAUGCAACACCAUUAUGGAGGUGUACGCUAGGAAUGGUCGAGUCCCCUUGGCCCACCAGCUGUUCGAAGAAAUGCCUCUUAGGGAUGUGGUAACUUGGACGUCCUUGUUAUCCAGCUAUGUUAGCGUGGGAGACUCUCCCGAGGCCUUCCACUUGUUCUGCCAAAAUGCGAGCGGAGGGUCUUGAGGUGAAUCAAGUCACAAUGGCGGUCUUGCUUCGAGCAUGCUAUGGUUCCGAAGACAAGGUCGCAGGGUGCCAACUACAAGCAUUUGCGAACAAGGAGCAUUGCCUCUUGGAAUAUCCUCCUAUCAUCCUACUCUUUCAUAGGGGAUGUUUCCAGAGUAGUCAAGUGCUAUAGGAAGAUGAGACUAGAGGUGACUCCUAGCAAUGAGACUCUAACUUUGCCCAUCUCUGCAUUCGCCAAGUGUGAGCAUCUCCCUGGUGGAAGAGAGGUACAUUGCAAUGCCAUCAAAACUUGACAGAUUGACUCAGUUCUACGUGCCACUCUCGUCGAUUUCUAUACUAAAUGUGGUGAAUUGAAAUCAGCAGUCAUGUUGCAUGAUGAAUGCCAAGUGAAGUGCAACACCAUAUGGAGCAUCAUAAUGUGGGGCCUUAUUCAGAAUGGUGAGUUCUUGGAAGCUGUCAACGUGUUUGAAAGAAUGCAAAAGUCUGUAAUUAAGCCUUGUAAGGAUGCUCUAAGGGCCUUAGUUGUCGCAUAUACUAACUUGGGAGCUUUGUUGUUGGGUAGAGGAGUCCAUAAUCUUAUGUAGGAUGUGAUUGUGUAAAUAGAUUUUUUUUUGUA